AACGGCUACCACAUCCACGGAAGGCAGCAGGCGCGCAAAUUACCCAAUCCCGACACGGGGAGGUAGUGACAAUAAAUAACAAUAUAGGGCCCUUUUGGGUCCUAUAAUUGGAAUGAGUACAAUUUAAAUCCGUUAACGAGGAACAAUUGGAGGGCAAGUCUGGUGCCAGCAGCCGCGGUAAUUCCAGCUCCAAUAGCGUAUAUUAAAGUUGUUGCAGUUAAAAAGCUCGUAGUUGAACUUCAGACCUGACCGGGCGGUCCGCCUAACGGUGUGUACUGUCUGGCCGGGCCUUACCUCUUGGUGAGCCGGCAUGCCCUUCACUGGGUGUGUCGGGGAACCAGGACCUUUACCUUGAGAAAAUUAGAGUGUUCAAAGCAGGCUUACGCCGGAAUACAUUAGCAUGGAAUAAUAAAAUAGGACGUGCGGUUCUAUUUUGUUGGUUUCUAGAGUCGCCGUAAUGAUUAAUAGGGAUAGUUGGGGGCAUUUGUAUUGCGUUGCUAGAGGUGAAAUUCUUGGAUUUACGCAAGACAAACUAUUGCGAAAGCAUUUGCCAAGGAUGUUUUCAUUAAUCAAGAACGAAGGUUAGGGGAUCGAAAACGAUCAGAUACCGUUGUAGUCUUAACAGUAAACUAUGCCGACUAGGGAUCGGACGACCUCAAUAUUAUGCGUCGUUCGGCACCUUACGAGAAAUCAAAGCUUUGGGUUCUGGGGGGAGUAUGGUCGCAAGGCUGAAA
rnacentral:rRNA from 1 species